UCUGGCCUUAUUGAGCUUAAUGGCCAGUAUCGGGAAACUGGGUCUAAAUAGCCAGGAUUUUCUUUCCCAGUCUCCCCUUCUGGUGUUGACAAAGUGAAAGCCGGCAGCGAGCAGAAAGGCGAAGCGACCUGAACACCGGAAGCGAAGCCACAAGUAUAGAGGCGGUUUCAAAAUAUCAUUAUCGUUGGCGGGAAGAUGGCGGCUGCCCAUACACUUUCGAUAUCGACUGCUUUAUGUACUGCCUCAUUGACUACCCCAAGCGGUUGGGUUGUCCUAGGAGUCGUUGGUGCAGUGUGUGUAACUGUUGCAGUAGUAACUGUUGUGGUUGAGAAGCGGCGAAAAGAAGGAAAGAGAAAGCAAAACUGAUCAGACUCGAAUACUUGUUAACAUAAAAUUUAGAUGUCAAUGGUGUUCUAAAUAGCAAGUUACUUUUUUAUCUUAAAAAAAUUUUAUUUUGUCGCUUUAAAUGUUACUUCUUAUGAUGGAUAUAAAAAACAGAACUGAGCAGACUAGUGUAAUUGUCAAAAUACGAUUUGGAUGUAAAGGACAGACUGUAUAUCAAGAUGAUUUUCUGUCAUUAAAUAGUAGUGUUUAGUGGUGUUUAAUUAUAUUUUUCAUAAAGCAUUGCAAAAUAAAAUUAUGAAAUCGGUUGGUAUAAAUGCUUCCCUGAUUGUGUAAUAGAGUUCUGUCAAUUCUCAUGUCUUUGAACAAUUUUUCAUUAUCUUAAUUUCCGUUCAAAGCUUAAGCUUGAAUAUGUAAUGUCACUCAAAUAACACCACAGUAGUCUGUAGUUACUUAUGCAAAAGAAAGCAGUUUUUGAUUAAAUUGA